rnacentral:rRNA from 1 species
GAGGGACGCUGGCGGCGGGCUUAACAGGUGCAAGUGGAACGAUGGGCCACUUCGGGGGGGAUUAGUUUCGAACGUUUGAGUAAUUCGUGGGCUUUCUGCCCUUUACUCUGGUUCAAGCCCUGGAUUCGGGGUUUAAUACCGGAUUCUGAUCCUCGCCGGCAUCCCCGAGGUUCGCCAGCUCCGGCGGUGCAGGAUGAGCCCGCGGCCUAUCAGCUAGUUGGUGAGGUAACGGCUCACCAAGGCCACGACGGGUGGCCGGCCUGACCGGGCGACGGGCCACACUGGGGGUGAGCAACGGCCCAGACUCCUACGGGAGGCAGCAGUGGGGAAUAUUGCACAAUGGGCGAAAGCCUGAUGCAGCGACGCCGCGUGAGGGAUGACGGCCUUCGGGUUGUAAACCUCUUUCAGCAGGGAAGAAGCGAAAGUGACGGUACCUGCAGAAGAAGCGCCGGCUAACUACGUGCCAGCAGCCGCGGUAAUACGUAGGGCGCAAGCGUUGUCCGGAAUUAUUGGGCGUAAAGAGCUCGUAGGCGGCUUGUCACGUCGGUUGUGAAAGCCCGGGGCUUAACCCCGGGUCUGCAGUCGAUACGGGCAGGCUAGAGUUCGGUAGGGGUAGUCGGAAUURAUGGUGUAGCAGUGAAAGGCGCAGAUAAUAGGAGGAACAGGGGUGGCGAAGGCGGAUCUAUGGGCCGGUACUGACGCUGAUCAGCGAAAGCGACUGGAGCGACACGGAUUUAAUACCCAUGUAGUCCACCUCGUAAACGGUCCGCACUUUGUGUGGGCACCAUUCCACAUUGUCC